AACCUAUGGUAUGGAUAGUGCCUCUAAAGGUCUUUAUAUCUUUCCCAUGCCUUGUAUAAAGUUUCAUCCUCCCUUCGAACAAAAGUAGUAAUAUCAUUCCUAAUUUU